ACGCUGGCGGCAUGCCUAACACAUGCAAGUCGAACGAGACCUUCGGGUCUAGUGGCGCACGGGUGCGUAACGCGUGGGAAUCUGCCCCUUGGUUCGGAAUAACAGCGAGAAAUUGCUGCUAAUACCGGAUAAUGACGUAAGUCCAAAGAUUUAUCGCCAAGGGAUGAGCCCGCGUAGGAUUAGCUAGUUGGUGUGGUAAAGGCGCACCAAGGCGACGAUCCUUAGCUGGUCUGAGAGGAUGAUCAGCCACACUGGGACUGAGACACGGCCCAGACUCCUACGGGAGGCAGCAGUGGGAAUAUUGGACAAUGGGCGAAAGCCUGAUCCAGCAAUGCCGCGUGAGUGAUGAAGGCCUUAGGGUUGUAAAGCUCUUUUACCCGGGAUGAUAAUGACAGUACCGGGAGAAUAAGCUCCGGCUAACUCCGUG
rnacentral:rRNA from 1 species